GGGCUGACUCAGAGCUGCUCCACUCCGCCCCAGCCUCUGUGCUGUUCCCUCGCCUUUCCGUCCUCACGGCUGAGUCUCCCCUAGGCCCCUCUCCUGGAAACGACCGCACCCUUCAGCUAACUCGCUGCACUCCUGUUUCUGUCGAGGUUCACGCCCAACGGCGGAGGAAAACACAAGUUUUCACAGGGCUCAUCCCCUUCCUAAACCCCAGCAGGACUCUGUUUCUGCCCCUCAGCCCUCCUCUGGACAAGCUGAAGUCCUGGCGCUUUAAACAGCAACAUUGCCACCAUGCGCAGGCUCCGCCGCCCUUUAACUUGGGCUACUUGGUGCAGAGCGCAAAGCUCACAUUCUGUUUCCCGAAACUCAGCUUCCAUCCACACCCGAUCAGGUCCAAGCUACUUCGGCAGCAUUCACGCAGCUCCCAUCAGCGGCCAGCAGGGGGCCCGUCCGGCCUCCUCCCUGCACCGUCCCUCCCGGCAGCGCCUUCCCGUGCACACCCGCCGCACGCUUCGCCUCUGCAACUUAACUACACGGAUCCUACUCACACUUCUGCUUCCUGGCACACAGGAACGGCCGCAUAGAAAACAAGUGAGAUGAUUUAUGUAACACACCUGGCUCAGCACCUGGCGACAUAAAAGGUUGAGGACGAGUCUUUGAAAUGCAGUUCUCCAGAUGUGGUUUUACAGCUCAGCCCAUUGCUCGUGACUAAUGGAGGAUUUGUUUAACCCCCUUGAGGAGCUCCCUCAGAGGCCAGCGGAUGAUUUUCUGCAAACAGUGGAUAGCUAUUCCGAGAACUUUCUCCAAACGUGUGUGGAUUGGCUGAACGCAGUGUCAUGACCACGCGGGCAGCGGAGGUGCCCUGGCCCGGGCCCCUGGCCUGGCGACAGAGCAUUCCUGGAACCUUCUCCCGGUUAGCUCGGACGAGGAACUGCAUCUUCUGGGCCUUUGCCUUUGUGCUUGAAACUUUGGGUUCUUAAUGCAGUGUUUUCUGUACUGUUAUUCUUCACGGCAAUCUUGUGUUUGUGCUAAAUUCCCAGGAGCGUGUGACCUGCCCCAAGUCACAAAGUGAAAAUGAACAGGCAACCAGAAAUUGUGUGUUCUGUGGGUCUUGUGCGGGCGUUGCUUCCGCACCCUGUGGCUUUGUGACCAUGCCUGCCCAGGAGUCCCGGGGAAGGGUCAGGCAGUCACGGGGGCUGGAGGCGGGACCUGGGCGUCGGCACCCGGCCGGCCGGGCAGAUGCAGGACACAGUUGGAGCGAGGUGGAGCUCAGCUGCGCCUUGUGAACAACUCAGACACAGGCGGUUACCUCUUCUAUUGGUCAGCGCUCCGUCAAAUGCUUUCUUUUUAUUUUUAUUUUUAUUGGCACCUGUUGAAGCACAUAGCAAUUACAUCUAUCAGGGGGAGUAGAUCGAGUGCUACUAAAGCGCAGGGUCACAUACCGAAUUUAAUUUGCUCCCACUACAAGCUCCAUGUCGGAAGGAGUGUGCUUCACCACCAAAGCCCUUAAUGGGCAAAUGUAAAUACUUACUUCAUCUCAGUGCCCUUCGUAGGAGUAUAUUGAUGGCAAAUAUUUUUUUUAAACUUUGAAAGAGGUAAUUGCAUUUCCAUGAGAAAUUUAUAUUGAAGCAGAUAGAAAAGGGAAAAUUCAAUGUUGAUCUUCACAUUUCUAAGACAAAUUUCCCACAAUCCAACCAUGCAAAAAUUUUCAUUAUUCAUUAACAUUUUUAUGAAUUUUUUCAUUCAUUUUUCUGCUUGUUUAGAAGAUAUUUGCAGUAAUUGUUGAAUUUUAUACCCUUUUUCUUCCAAUGAAUCAUGACCUGAACACUGUAUCAUUAACAAACCUUCUGUAGACAUAAUUACAAUAAUUCCACAAUAUUUUAUGUGUAUACAUAGUCUGCUCUAUGCUUAGUUAUGAUGCUUUGUGUACAAAUAGUUUGUGUUCUCAAA